GUGGGGAAUUUUGGACAAUGGGCGCAAGCCUGAUCCAGCAAUGCCGCGUGCAGGAAGAAGGCCUUCGGGUUGUAAACUGCUUUUGUACGGAACGAAACGGUCCGGGUUAAUACCCUGGGCUAAUGACGGUACCGUAAGAAUAAGCACCGGCUAACUACGUGCCAGCAGCCGCGGUAAUACGUAGGGUGCAAGCGUUAAUCGGAAUUACUGGGCGUAAAGCGUGCGCAGGCGGUUUUGUACGACAGGCGUGAAAUCCCCGGGCUCAACCUGGGAAUUGCGCUUGUGACUGCAAGGCUGGAGUGCGGCAGAGGGGGAUGGAAUUCCGCGUGUAGCAGUGAAAUGCGUAGAUAUGCGGAGGAACACCGAUGGCGAAGGCAAUCCCCUGGGCCUGCACUGACGCUCAUGCACGAAAGCGUGGGGAGCAAACAGGAUUAGAUACCCGAGUAGUCC
rnacentral:rRNA from 1 species